AGUGAACGCUGGCGGUAGGCCUAACACAUGCAAGUCGAACGGCAGCACAGGAGAGCUUGCUCUCUGGGUGGCGAGUGGCGGACGGGUGAGGAAUACAUCGGAAUCUACCUUUUCGUGGGGGACAACGUAGGGAAACUUACGCUAAUACCGCAUACGACCUUCGGGUGAAAGCAGGGGACCUUCGGGCCUUGCGCGGAUAGAUGAGCCGAUGUCGGAUUAGCUAGUUGGCGGGGUAAAGGCCCACCAAGGCGACGAUCCGUAGCUGGUCUGAGAGGAUGAUCAGCCACACUGGAACUGAGACACGGUCCAGACUCCUACGGGAGGCAGCAGUGGGGAAUAUUGGACAAUGGGCGCAAGCCUGAUCCAGCCAUACCGCGUGGGUGAAGAAGGCCUUCGGGUUGUAAAGCCCUUUUGUUGGGAAAGAAAAGCAGCCAGUUAAUACCUGGUUGUUCUGACGGUACCCAAAGAAUAAGCACCGGCUAACUUCGUGCCAGCAGCCGCUGUAA
rnacentral:rRNA from 1 species